UAACAAGUGGCAGAACCUUGAGUCUGGCGCCAUCUUGUGUUCUAACGGCGGAAAUGGCGGCCUCUCCCUUAAAAUCAGACUGUGAUAAUUAUUUGAAGAAAAGGUGGUGUUUGGACGCAGCUGUUGAGUCCAGUGCAGUGUAGCUGCUGAAUACCCAGGAGCACUCCUAGAGACCACAGCAGCGCAGGUGAUGGGAGCUGACAAGAGCGGGUCCACCAGUCUCUGGUACAGGUUGCAGUGUGAGGCAGGGAAAGAAGAAAAACUUCCUUGUGAAAGUAGGAAUGCAAAGUAUUCCCCACAAUGCCACACUGCUGCAAUUACUCCAGCGCCUGGUGCCGGGCCAAGACAAUGAGAUGACAGCUUGUGGUGUUGAGGGGGAGAGCAGUUCAACUCCCAUCUCUCCUGCUGUAUCUACACUGAAACCUUGUGUCUUGGACCUCUAAACUGCUGUGUCCAAAAUGAAUGUAUUUCCAUCUGGUAUUCACAUCAGUUGGUCUCUAAACAUCAUAACCCAAUAAAACCUUGCCUGUCAUUGAAAUGUUUUUUGAUUAAUGAGCAAAGGUUUUUCGCUGGGUGAAAUGUUGUGCUCGUAUUGGUAUAUAUUAACUACUCCAGUACUUAUGUCUACUAGAUGUCCAUCUCUCUGUUCUUUCUGCUCACCAUGCUGACUAUUAGUUUUUCACUCUCACUUGGUAAUUAACUGGCACAGUCCUCCUCUGUGAAAAGAGACAGAAAAGAAAAGAGGCGAGAUUAGCCAGGCUGGGGGGGAGUGAGG
rnacentral:lncRNA from 1 species